rnacentral:sRNA from 1 species
CUCAGCAUUCAUGCUUUUCACUAAGCUUUUUCAUCAUGGAUAUUCUUGGGCUCAAUAUUAGAUAACAUUUUGAAUAUUCUUUGUCCUCUUGGCUUUUGAUUAAGAUGUUGGAUAGAUCUUAUUCAAGAAAUGGUGUGCCAUACAGAUUUGAAAGCAAUCUCUAAGUAGUAAAUAUGAAGAGUUCGAGAUGUUGAGUAUUGAUUACUAAUCAACUACUAGUCUGAGAGAUGAAAGCCAAAGCUGUAAACAGACAGGCCAGCUUAACAAGCGCACAUUCUCUGCUGCCAACAGUACCAAUUUUUCAUCCAAGCAACUAAUAUUCCUUGGUAAUCUGCUAUCAGAUAACAGUUUUCUCUUUGU